CUCCUAAUUGAAGGAAAAAAUUAUCUUGGUAUUACGUUUCCAUUUUCCCAUAAAAAAAUUGCGGCCGCUUUAUUUCUUCCCCGGUAAAAUGAAUUUUGACGCUACGAACGAGUUCUAAUACAAGUAUUUUCCCGCUCGAAAAAGAUUACAUUUAUAUAAAAUAAAUUGUUUGUAUUUUCAAAUUCUUUAAACUCGGUCAAACUAUCAUCAAUCUCUUUCUCUCUCUUUUGUUGUUGUUGCCACUUUGCUUUCGUUCAAAUCAACUGCGUGUCAAGUAAAUUACACUACCCGUUCAAUAAAUGCAAGGGAAAAGAUUUAACGGUGGAGGCAAAGGACGUAUUUUACUCAGUGGGAACAUCAUAAUUAUUCUGUAUUAACAUCGACUUCCAUUACGACUGGUUCCUAGGAAAC